CAUUAGCCCUAGAAAACACCACUACCAUCCUGGCUGAGAAUGUAAGAAAAGCAACAGAAGAAGAAUCACCCCCUUGACACUUGAAAUCUAUAGCCCAGCCUUCUCCAAAUCACUUGAGUGGUUCUUACCGUCUACGACCUUUUGGAUUAAUGUGUGAAGGGCCACUCUCUCUAGAUGGAAGCAGAGCCCAGGACACUGCUGGAGUCCCUUGUGUGUCAUAGCUUGGUGGUUUGGAUGCCACCAGCCAAGCACAGG